rnacentral:lncRNA from 1 species
GCGGCGAUUUCUUUUGGGUCCCAGUCUGUCUUUUGGCAUGGAUCAAAAUUUGAAAUCAAACUUUUUCUGGGAAGGCUGCUUCUCCGUCCUGUCGCGAGGAUGGUGGUCCUGAAACCUCAUCUGAGAGUGCCAUGGCCGCUGGUGUGCCCCAGGGUGGUGGAGCGGUCUUCAGGAGUUUGCACUGUCUCCGGGAGUAAACCUAGUCCGCGAAGGACGCAUUUGUCUGAGGCGGCUAGGCAAAAGCGGAGGAGGGCUAGGAAGGAAGUUGCUGGUAUCGGUGGAUCUCAGCUACCGAGUAAUUCUUCUCAAAUAGCCUUUUUUGUCUGAUUCUCCUGCUGAUACCCCUGGUGUUGGCAAGAGAACCAGAUCUGUGAUGUCUACCCCCCUCUUCUGAGGAGAUGAG